AUAUUUGGCUUAACCGGAUUGGUC
rnacentral:siRNA from 1 species